rnacentral:rRNA from 1 species
GGGGAAUCUUCCGCAAUGGGCGAAAGCCUGACGGAGCAACGCCGCGUGAGGGAUGAAGGCCUCUGGGCUGUAAACCUCUUUUCUCAAGGAAGAAGAUCUGACGGUACUUGAGGAAUAAGCCACGGCUAAUUCCGUGCCAGCAGCCGCGGUAAUACGGGAGUGGCAAGCGUUAUCCGGAAUUAUUGGGCGUAAAGCGUCCGCAGGCGGCCUUUUAAGUCUGUUGUUAAAGCGUGGAGCUUAACUCCAUUUAAGCAAUGGAAACUGGAAGGCUAGAGUGUGGUAGGGGCAGAGGGAAUUCCCGGUGUAGCGGUGAAAUGCGUAGAUAUCGGGAAGAACACCAGUGGCGAAGGCGCUCUGCUGGGCCAUAACUGACGCUCAUGGACGAAAGCCAGGGGAGCGAAAGGGAUUAGAUACCCCUGUAGUC